GGGGGAUUAGCUCAGUUGGUUAGAGCGCUACCUUGACAUGGUAGAGGUCCCGAGUUCGAAUCUCGGAUCUCCCACCA
rnacentral:tRNA from 2 species